GUGCUUGCUUCAGCAGCACAUACACUAAAACUGAAACGAUACAGAGAAUAUUAGCAUGACCCUUGUGCAAGAAUAAGAAAUAAUGUAACUAGAAGAGGGACAUAACUUG